rnacentral:tRNA from 1 species
UGGGGUGUCGCCAAGCGGUAAGGCAGUGGACUCUGACUCCACCACCCGGGGUUCGAAUCCCUGCACCCCAACCA